rnacentral:rRNA from 1 species
UACGAAGGGGGCUAGCGUUGCUCGGAAUCACUGGGCGUAAAGCGCACGUAGGCGGCUUUUUAAGUCAGAGGUGAAAUCCUGGAGCUCAACUCCAGAACUGCCUUUGAUACUGAGAAGCUUGAGUCCGGGAGAGGUGAGUGGAACUGCGAGUGUAGAGGUGAAAUUCGUAGAUAUUCGCAAGAACACCAGUGGCGAAGGCGGCUCACUGGCCCGAUACUGACGCUGAGGCACGAAAGCGUGGGGAGCAAACAGG